UUAACUUUUAGUGUAAUUGCACAAAAAAUUUUGAUUUUUUAAGUAAUAAUUAAAAAUUAUUAAAGUUAAU
rnacentral:tRNA from 1 species